GGAGGACCCGCCCUGCCCCCUAGCGCCCAGUUCCCUGGGCUCUGCCUGGGCCCUGAGAGUGCCAUCUGCAUUUAGGAAUGGCAGUCCAAGCUCUCAGGGUGAGUGCAGGGAUGCGGGUAAAGAAAGGAGAGUCCAGGCCCAGGGAAGGACACUGGGCAAAGCGAUGAGGACCCCCGUGCGGACCCACUCAGCUCUAGUAUGGCUACGGGACCUUGAGCAAGCCCCAGCUUCCUGCAACCAGAGGGAGCGCGAAUGGCGAUCUUCCAAACUAGUCAAAGCAGCCUUCACUCUCGCAAUUGGAUUCUGACCUGUCACUCACCAGCUGGGUAGCACGCAGGAAGUUACUUAACCUCUCUGAGUCCAUUUCCUCAAAUCAAAAACUGAACAGAGUGGUUGACGGGACUGAAUGGAGAGGGGACGGUCCUUGAUUGCCGGGAGCUCAGGGCACAGGGCUCUGACAAGGAGCUCAUUUUUUUCCCCUUUAAUUUUUAUUUUAUCAAAAUAAUGCCACACUCCGGUGAGUCUCCGACGUCACCGUCACUCACGUGCCACCUGGAGGAAACGCUGUCAGGGAUGCACCAAUUAUAGAAAGAUGCGCCCUGCUGUCGCAGCGCUGCGGUUGACUCAGGGCGCAGCGGAGGUGGCGCCGCGGUUUCCGGCCCGCGCCCUCGCCCCGCCCGCACCUCGGGCGGCCUGUCCCCUGCGCUUGGGCAUCUCGGGUUCCUG
rnacentral:lncRNA from 1 species